ensembl:lncRNA
GUGACCAGAAAGCUAGCUACAGAUUGUUUACCUCCUGUAUUGAACACAGAUCACCCCAUUUUAAAUUUUAGCGAUUCUUUAGGUAAAAAAAUACCUAAAGUUGUACUACAAAAGUAGUUUGAAAUGUUUUGGCAAAGUUUACAGGUAACUUUUGAGAUAUUUUGUAGUCACGUUGCUCAAGUUGGAACCAGUGUUUUUCUGGAUCAAACGCCCCAAAUAAAUUGACAUUUUGGAUAUACAUCGACGGAAUUAAUCGAACAAAAGGACCAUUUGUGAUGUUUAUGGGACAUAUUGGAGUGCCAACAAAAGAAGCUUGUCAAAGGGAAACGGCUGCUGAGAGGAGGCAGUAAACUUGUGUGCCUCCAGCCCCAUCCUGGCCUCUGGCCCCGGUCCAGAGCCCAGUGGAAAGCACCUAUUGAUGCCUGAAAAACUCCCACAGUCCACAGCUCCCUAGAGAUAAAGGGAGGUAGUGAAGGAGGCAGAUCUCCCGAGUGGUGCAGCAUUCUAAGGCACUGCAUCUCAGUGCUAGAGUCGUCACUACAGACCCUGGUUCGAUCCUGGACUGCAUCAC